GCGAAAACUUUACAAUGCUGGCAACAGCGAUAAGGGAACCUCGAGUGCCAGGUUACAAAUCUGGCUGUCGAGAUGCCUAAAAAGCAUUUCAUAGCAAGGGCCGGGCAAGACCGGUGCCAGCCGCCGCGGUAACACCGGCGGCUCGAGUGGUAACCGUUAUUAUUGGGUCUAAAGGGUCUGUAGCCGGCCGGAUAAGUCUCUUGAGAAAUCUGGCAGCUUAACUGUCAGGCUUUCAGGAGAUACUGUCUGGCUCGAGGCCGGGAGAGGUGAGAGGUACUUCAGGGGUAGGGGUGAAAUCUUGUAAUCCUUGAAGGACCACCAGUGGCGAAGGCGGCUCUCUGGCCUAGGACUGACGCUGAAGCGCGAAAGCGUGGGGAGCGAACA
rnacentral:rRNA from 1 species